GGAGAGAUGGCCGAGCUGGUCGAAGGCGCUCGCCUGCUAAGCGAGUGAGGGACGAAAGUUCCUCCGAGGGUUCGAAUCCCUCUCUCUCCG
rnacentral:tRNA from 1 species